GGGGCUGUAGCUCAGUGGCAGAGCGCUCGCCUAGCAUGUGUGAGGCACUAGGUUCCAUCCUUAGCACCACA
rnacentral:tRNA from 1 species